UACAGAGGGUGCUAGCGUUGUUCGGAAUCAUUGGGCGUAAAGGGCGUGUAGGCGGUUUGUUAAGUCAUGUGUGAAAUCCCUCGGCUCAACCGGGGAACGACGCAUGAAACUGGCAAGCUAGAGUACCAAAGAGGGGGGUGGAAUUCCCGGUGUAGCGGUGAAAUGCGCAGAUAUCAGGAAGAACACCUAUGGCGAAGGCAGCUCUCUGGGACGGUACUGACGCUGAGACGCGAAAGCGUGGGGAGCGAACAGG
rnacentral:rRNA from 1 species